ensembl:lncRNA
GGUGUUCCUAUUCCAAAUGCUGACAAAAAUAUGUUGUCCAAAUAUUUGUGGGUGAAUGUGUGUAUCAGGUGGACAGUGAUGGUCCAGGAUGUGGGUGCGGAACUACAGAAGGCUCAAAGUGCCCUGAAUCUCUGGCGGGACUACAGCAUGCUCUAUGGAGACUGCUCUGUGCGUUUGAGCCGCCAAUGGCAGAAGUAUGAAGUGCUCUUUAGCCCCCUGGCCAAAGAGGAGAACAGCAUGGAGCUGCUUCAUAGCAGGCUUAAUGCCAUCAGCGUUUUGGAGAAUGAAAUGGAAGCCUUGCAGAACAAUGUUGCAGAUUUAUUGAUGGCCUCUAAGCCUCUCAUUGCACAGAUGGAGUCCCAUGCAGCCCCUCUGAUCCAGACAGAGACCAGGCUGCUGUCACGUGAUCUUGUGCGUCUGGGCCAGGCAUUGGUUAGAAGACAGGUAGAGCUCCAGGAGGAACUGGAAGAGCAUGUCAGCUUUAAUACUGAUUUGGAAUCUUUAGAGCAGCAUCUGAAGAGCUAUGAAAACUUAAUAGCCUCCACCACUGCAAGCACAGAGUGCCUAAAGGUAAACCAGUUAAUACCUUUCUCUUCUACCCCAAAACAGGUAUAGUUGCCUUAUAGUUAUUAUUAUUUUCUGUUGUAAGUAACUGUAGUCUCUCAUAAACAGAUUUUUCACUUGUUCACAUUCUUCUUCUCUCUCUUUUUGUGCUUUGUAAGCUGGGUCUUAUGGAGCAGAGUGGUCUGACACCUGACCUUGGAGAUUUGAAUAAACGCAGCCUAACACUGACCCUUAGUGCAUCUCACCUGCAACUCCUCAACACACAGUGGAUGCAGGUCUUCUCUCAAGCCACAGCCAAACACAGGUGCACUAUUUGAAUAGUUUGAAUGAUCAGUUUUUUUGUCAAUUUUCCUUUGCAGUAUCUCACCUGA